rnacentral:rRNA from 14 species
UGCAUGGCUGUCGUCAGCUCGUGUCGUGAGAUGUUGGGUUAAGUCUCGCAACGAGCGCAACCCCUAUCCUUAGUUGCCAGCAUUAAGUUGGGCACUCUAGGGAGACUGCCUGGGCUAACCAGGAGGAAGGUGGGGAUGACGUCAAGUCCUCAUGGCCCUUAUGUCCGGGGCUACACACGUAAUACAAUGGUGCAUACAAUGGGAAGCGACCCUGCGAAGGUGAGCAAAUCUCAAAAAGUGCAUCUCAGUCCGGAUUGGAGUCUGCAACUCGACUCCAUGAAGUUGGAAUCGCUAGUAAUCGUGGAUCAGCACGCCACGGUGAAUACGUUCCCGGGCCUUGUACACACCGCCCGUCACACCAUGGGAGUUGGGUUCACCCGAAGGCCGUGCGCCAACCUUUCGAGGGGGCAGCGGACCACGGUGAGCUCAGCGACUGGGGUGAAGUCGGAACAAGGUAGCCGUAGGGGAACCUGCGGCUGGAUCACCUCCUU